UAGGCCUUUCGUUCAAAAACAAAACAGGAGGAAACGAUCGAUCAACAAAUCAAUCUUAUCUUAUCUCUCUCUAACAUUAAAAAACAGUCUUAAUCGACGAAUGGAUUCGGCGAAUUAUCACGCAACGCUCUCACGAUCUGUCCCCGCCUCCCUCUGAUUAAUAAUUUUGACGUGAUCGCAUCACGCGAACAAGUAACCCCGAACUUUAAACAAAAUUGAAUCCUAUAUUGAUCGCAUAAUUUAAUUUGAAGAAACGAGAAUUGCGAAACAAUGCUCUGCGUUUAUUGACUGUACCGCAAAGAGGAUAGGAUUGCCGAAACAUCAAAGUUGGGCGAGUUGGGCGGGAGUGCUAGGCGCGAAACCAAGUCGUAAAACUCUCUUUAAUGUAAGUAUAGUAUGUAUACGCUCCCAACCAACUUCCUUCUGCUUCCUUUGCUCCCUCUCCCUCUUCCUCGUUCGCUUUAAACUCUUGCAUUCGCGUCUGCCGCGCCGGAAGCGGUGGCGCCUACUGACAAAAAGAAACUACUAUAUAUUAGAUCUCCAUUCCGUAGCUUUCUUGAAAUCAACUGACUCGAACGAACUCGGGGGAGAUUCACCGGAAACGAAGGAACUGAUUGCUGUCAAAUGAAGGAAACGCGAGGUGAAUGAUCAACGCGGAAGUGGCAGUACAAUUUUACCCUAUUGGUAAUUUUACAAUUCUGCCAGUCGGAUGUAAAUUUUCAAGAAGUUUGCAAUUAAUUGCAAAUAACACGAACCAUACAAACUUACUAUAUUAUACACAUAUCGUUUCCGUGUCACGAUUCUCCAAUUUUUUUUUUCUCGCUUCAUCUCGCCGAUUCUCCAUUUCUCCCCUUCUAUCCAAUCUCUCUCUCGCUUUCUCUGCCUAUCAAUCCGUUCAUUAUGUAUAGUCUACAUAUACGUGUGACCCUCAAUUGAAAUCGCUCAACACUACUUUUCGUUACAUAAUAAUUCAGAAACGCUCGCACGGAAUUUAUAUGGUUGUUUCCUGCGCGAUCUCGAUCUCAAUUUCAGACCUGAAUUCGCGCGUGGAAUAUUAUCACUAUGAUCCACCAUGCUUGUCGAAUGAACUACUACAAUAUCAUAGGAGAAAGUAUAGUUUCUGAAGACAUCGAACGCUAACAUUCGAAUAAAGUUUCAUAUUUCAUCGCUGAUGAUCUCACCAUCGAUAGCAAAUAAACGCGGCGCUCAAACGAAACGUAAUAAAUGUCCGAAUCGAUUUUUAAAAUGAAAAUGACCAUGGAACACGUACCUCCUAUACCGCAACUUUACGAUUUUUUAACAUGAUUUACGUUAGUCGGAAACCAUUCGAUGUUCCACGGAGCAGAUAACAUAGACGAAAGUAGAAAAACGAAAUCAUCACUGGUAUCUUUUCGGGAAACGUUUAGUAUAAAAUCCAAUAUCAAGUACCUCCAAUGUUUCGAUGAUCCAUCUGUACGAUGCCCGUGUGCCGUUUAUCGACCAUUUUGAAAGAUGUCCCGUACGAGCCACCGCGCGUAUCGCAUCCAAUCGAGAGUCCUGUCGAUACAUCGACUCAGCAAUCUUUCGAUCGAUCGAUAACAAAAGCGACUAAUAUAAGAUUUCAGACUGGUCCUUCGAUAAUUCGUGAAUCGUCGACAAAGGUAAGGGAAGCGAUCGUUUUUAGAAAGUAGGAUAAACGCGGUCACCACGGAAGAAAACAACAAUGACGCGUAAAUUAAACGGAAGAAGAGAGAGAAAAAAGCGCGAAAUCAUGGCUAGACGAAAUAUUUCUAUUCGAAAAAGAGAAGAACAUAACGAUCUACGAUCUCGUUUCUUCUACAAUUUCAGUCAUCUUGCUGACGCACCGUUGCCUACUCGAGGACAGAGAAUCGCGUCACCGUGAAAUUCUUUCCACGUAUGCAUCAAACGAGAGGCGCGACUUAAUCGGGUUUAAUCGUCGAUUGCACGGACAACCAGACGGAGUGCGCUCCCACGUUUUUUAAAAGGAAGAAAGGAAAGAAAACAGACGGUACGUGAGCUGUACUCGCUUAUUCGCACUAACUGCGAUAUAUAUAUAGCGAUCCUUCUCAUCUCUCUUCGAUUUACAUAUGCACAUAUUCAUGUGUUAUGGAAAGACAAAUAAGAGAGAAAGAGAGAGAGAGAUACGGUGAUUGAUCAUUUUUCUAUCUUAUAUCAUUUUAGUCAAUUUUAUUUAGCCAUUAUAUAUCCAAAUAAAAACAAAAUUUGCAACAGAUGGAUAGCUAUUUCGUUUUCGAAAAUGUGAAAGUACUUCGAAAGACUGAGUUUUGUUCAUUGUGUAGAAACAAAGCAAAUUUGUUAACGAAGUAUUCGAUUGAUAGACAAAAUCCGACCUAUCGACUUGUCGAAUAUUAUCGAGUGUUAACGCGAUGAAAAGUGUUUUAUUGUGAAAUAUAAGAAAUUUUUGAUUAUUAUAUCAACAUUGAUAACAAGUUUCUUUUAUAAAAUAAUUAAAUAAAACAAAAAAAAAGUUUUAAUAAUAAAUCAAUUAACGAAUUAUAAUGAAUUA